CCUCACCAAACGAGCUCGCAAGAAUCAUGUAGUAUCAUCUCUUCCCCUACCUUAUCUUGGGCGGAUUAGUUCUUGUUAUUAGUUGGAUCUACUAGAAACCUAUUUGCAUCGCCCUUUUUGUUCUUGUCCGGUGUUUGUCCCACAUUUCAUAUUGUUUUGUCGGUGGACAUAUAAGGUUAGGAUAUAGGUCUGUGAAUAUAGUUUAAGUAUGAAGCCAGACAUUGCACUUGACUAUACAGGUCUCUGAAUAUAAGGGUAGGACAGCUGAUAUUCUCCAAGCCAAUAUUUCCACCAACAUGAUUUUCUCCAUGCUAAUAUUUCCACUAUUUCAGACAGAAUGACCAGCUGAUGUUCUUUCAGAAAGAAAUUUGAGUGUUGUUUGAUUUGCAUGGGAACUAUUUCUGGAAGAAAUUAAAAGCUUUGUGUCCGUGUUGUGAGUGAUUGUUAAGAAAUUUUUGGUUUAAGGCAAAACAACUCUGUUAUCCAUUUAUGGUAUUUAUUUCCUCGACAACUCUGUUAUCCUCAGCUUUAGUGACACUUCACUGGUGCUUAUAAGAAAUUUUUAUUUGCACAAUCGUGUCUGAGAUCCAGUUUCCGCCAUCAGCCAUGGUUUUAUAGGUAAAUGUAUGUGAAGUAGUACGGUAGGAGGUAAAAAAUCAGCAAGGACUCAGCUGGUUAGGACUUAGGAGUACGGGUGUGGAAUAGCCUUUAGUUUUUCCUGUUUCCAUUUCAUGUUUCACUUCCCCAAUAUUUUACAUGAGGGGUAUAGAAAAAUUAGGAAGCAUUGUAUUCCUGCAGAUCCUGUUUUUAGCAUACUGAUAGUUUUGUCUAUUUGUAAAUUUAUUAACUAUUGAAACUUACCCUUCUUUUGACAGGAACAAUGCUUAUUGACAAUAUAUAUUGUUUUGCCAAAUGAACUAGCUCAAUCAGAAUAUUCAUUGUUUGUUUCCGAACCUGUCAAAAACCUGGAGGCUGUUUCCUAAUCACUCUAGGAGAUUUGGAUCCAAACAGUUAUUAGGUAUAUCUUUGACACAGUUGUAUGGUGAAGGGACAUCGCAGCUCAGGUGGGGAAUUUAAUUGUUGUUUUUAUUUCAAUUUUGCUAUAAAAUUUAGAAAUUAUAUAUAAGAACCGAGAUUCUUCUUUGACUGUUCACCAAUCGUGCAGGGGAAUAGUUCCAAUUUUGAAAGAGAUGGAACCCAGAUUUGUGAUUUUUAUAAUGUUUUCAUGGUGCCUGC
rnacentral:lncRNA from 1 species